rnacentral:rRNA from 1 species
AUUGAACGCUGGCGGCAGGCUUAACACAUGCAAGUCGAGCGGAGUGAUGGUGCUUGCACUAUCACUUAGCGGCGGACGGGUGAGUAAUGCUUAGGAAUCUGCCUAUUAGUGGGGGACAACAUCUCGAAAGGGAUGCUAAUACCGCAUACGCCCUACGGGAGAAAGCAGGGGAUCACUUGUGACCUUGCGCUAAUAGAUGAGCCUAAGUCGGAUUAGCUAGUUGGUGGGGUAAAGGCCUACCAAGGCGACGAUCUGUAGCGGGUCUGAGAGGAUGAUCCGCCACACUGGGACGGAGACACGGCCCAGACUCCUACGGGAGGCAGCAGUGGGGAAUAUUGGACAAUGGGGGGAACCCUGAUCCAGCCAUGCCGCGUGUGUGAAGAAGGCCUUAUGGUUGUAAAGCACUUUAAGCGAGGAGGAGGCUCUUUUGGUUAAUACCCAAGAUGAGUGGACGUUACUCGCAGAAUAAGCACCGGCUAACUCUGUGCCAGCCGCCGCCGUAA